AUGAACUCUCCUUUGCGGCAAUUUUCUUCUUCUUGUACAGGGCAAAGCUUGGAGAAUUUCAACCUGAAUUAUGGUCUAAAACCUAACACCCUAAUCGUUCGCAACUUGCCAAGGACCGGCGUUCAACUUGAAGCGAGUAUAUGCAGAGUUGUCAUUGGCAUGAGGUAUGCUGACAUAAAGCCUGCCAUGGAGGAGUCUUGGGGGAUGGGGCCAUGA